CUGCUAACUAUGUAUCAGGCACUGUUCUAAGUCCUUCUUAUGUACUAACUCAUCUAACCAGCAGAAAAACAUUUUUGGACUAGUCCUUCACUAAAAUAGCCCAGUGAGAAACCGUACUUUUUUUUUUUUCUCAGUUGGUGACAUUGCAACCCGAAAUCACAACUCCGUUUUAGGUUCCUGGUGGUGCCUGCUUCCUCUUCUAGUUUGUUUAGUCACAGAAUUCGAUUCCUGUUGGCCGGUUACGCGCCUACAAACAGGCUUAGCGCUCUAUUGAAAUGCGUGAGGCUCCUUAACUCUUGUAUAAACAGAAACCAGCUGUAACUUUAGGUCAGGGCGCAUUAAAAUGAGCCGCUUCUGAACGAGCAGCGCCCAGGCCCCAGGCCCUGCUGCGAAGGCCCCGGCAAAGGUCAGGGUUUCGGCCGCGUGACGUUCUUUCCUGCGCCCGUCCAAGCGCUGCUGUGCCUCAGCCCAAAGGGGGCCAGACGUCUGAGGGCAGAUGUCCUCAGGUGAAGCAGGUGCCACUUCUGGGGCCAUGUCUGGAUGUCAGAAAUGGAUGUGACUUUUGGAGCGGGCGAGAAGUCUGUUUGGUGAAGUCCCCAAAUCUCUGCCGUCCGGGCAGAUUCCACCCCCCCCCCCUUAACCUUCAGCAAAGGUAUCUGAGCUCCUAAAACAACAGGAAUGUUGCACUGGCCUUUAGCCAGCGGAGGCUCAGCGAGCAGGAUAAAAUUUCAGUGCAGAUUUACGGGAAGUUGCUGGUGUUGGGAGUAAAAAUCUGGUUUGGUGAGUUUAAGGGAAGGGAGUAGACGAGAGACA
rnacentral:lncRNA from 1 species